GAUGAACGCUGGCGGCGUGCCUAAUACAUGCAAGUCGAGCGAACAGAUAAGGAGCUUGCUCCUUUGACGUUAGCGGCGGACGGGUGAGUAACACGUGGGUAACCUACCUAUAAGACUGGGACAACUUCGGGAAACCGGAGCUAAUACCGGAUAAUAUUUCGAACCGCAUGGUUCGAUAGUGAAAGAUGGUUUUGCUAUCACUUAUAGAUGGACCCGCGCCGUAUUAGCUAGUUGGUAAGGUAACGGCUUACCAAGGCGACGAUACGUAGCCGACCUGAGAGGGUGAUCGGCCACACUGGAACUGAGACACGGUCCAGACUCCUACGGGAGGCAGCAGUAGGGAAUCUUCCGCAAUGGGCGAAAGCCUGACGGAGCAACGCCGCGUGAGUGGUGAAGGUCUUCGGAUCGUAAAACUCUGUUAUUAGGGAAGAACAUACGUGUAAGUAACUGUGCACGUCUUGACGGUACCUAAUCAGAAAGCCACGGCUAACUACGUG
rnacentral:rRNA from 1 species